CCCCGGAUUAAAACUUUACCCGGCCCGGCGCUAAUGUUUGACCGCACGGCUGGGAGCCUGUUCCCGGCAGAGGCACAGGAAGUCAGAGCCGCGGCUCACUCCACAGCUGGAAAGAAAGGAAGGAGGAAAAAGUGCAAGAAUUCCCGCAGAGAAAUGUGUGACAUUUGAGGCAUUUAAUACCCGCAGCCGCUUGUUUGAAGCGAGAGGAGGGCAGGAAUUUCAGGAAUUAACUGUGGUAUGACAUGAAGCCUGGAAAAAGCCAGAGAAAAAGACCAAGGGAGGGAAGGAGGGAAGGAAGGUCUGACCGGUCAGCACGUAAUGACGACGACGAGGAGGAGGAGGAGGGUUCUGGAGAAGAAGAUAACUAAAGGCAAUCACAUCAUGAGUAAUAAUAUUACAAGUCCUCGGGAUACUGCGUGUGACGUCAGGACAAGAAAUGAAAAUUAUUACAAAGAUUAAAUCAAGAAGCUAUAGCUUGUUAUUAACCGAUGCGGCAGUUGACCAAAAAAAAACUUGACACAGACGCUACAUUUUUAAUAUGCCUUUUCCUUUUUAGAAAUAAUAUUCUGAGGACUGUACAAAAUGCGUGUGUGUUUUCAAACUGAUCAGUGUCAUAACCUCAGUUUGAAUUAAUUAACCAGUCAAAAUGUUCUCUUUUAAAAUGAUUUCGUCCAGCUAUUAUCAUCUUCAUCAUCAUCAUUAUUAUUAUUAUUAUUAUUAUUAUUAUUAUUAUUAUUAUUAUUAGAUAUAUCGCCUGAAGGAAUAACUGUCUGAGAUGUGAUUCUGAACUUUGGACCCUGAGGAGCAUUAAGUGCCCCCUAGCGGAUAUCAUGGUUAUUAGAGAAUGUUCGUUCACUGGGAAAAAAAACAAAAUCCCGUUUAACCCUCUACGUCUGGUGCAUUACAAUGAGCAAAAAUAUCUCUACCCUUAAUAUGUCUUAAAACAGGCUAAAGAAACAUAAUCUAACUGUUUUCCUUUUGUUGUUGUUUUCGGAGGUUCCUUGAUUGUAUGUGAUAAUAUCCCAUAAUAGUAACAGUAAUAAAUUAUUUUAAAAAAUUUG